GUUUGAUAGUGGAUCCUAAGUGAAACACUUGAGCUUUCUUUUCUUUUUGCCUUUUUUUAUCUUCUUUCUUCUUUGAGUUUAGAAAAAUUGUGCUUCAUGCCUUUAAAGUUUGAUUUUGUAUCAACACUCUAACAUGAUUGCCACAUACAUUACCUGCCUCAUAAUCACUAACUUGUUACAUCUAACCUCCUAACAUUUACUUUAUACAAUUUACUUUUGUGCCUUUACUUUCAUUGCAUUUAC
rnacentral:lncRNA from 1 species